rnacentral:lncRNA from 1 species
CUCAGAAUUUACACAACAUAAACUUCUACACUUCAGAGCACAACCACAUGAAGAAAUGUUUCUCCUCCAUGUCACAGGUGCAGUGUGAAUCACCCUGCUGGCAGAGGUCCCCGAGUCCCUAUCGCUUCUCUUUAAGAAAUAUUUUUGGACACCACUACAGCUUCAAAUACCCCAACAAUUGGAAAAAUAGGAAGGAGCUAGAGAGAUCCACUCAAGACUGAAUGAGAAAACCUGGCCUUCACUCCUGAUGGAAUACGUAACCUCUUGACUUGUGUUAUCAUGGCAUACAGCAAAGUAUGUGAUGUGCAGGGGGGAGCACUCGACAGGGAGGCUCUACACUGCCCUGAGGCUUUGGAUCUUGACUGGAGUCUUGACAAGGAUGGGGUGCAAGAACCAGGGCCAAGCAUGGACCACAUGCAGAUGCAACAUGUAGAAUGUCCAAGAUCAGUUUCAGACCGCGGCCCUGAUCCUGAGGUGAUGGAGUCUGUCCAGCCAUCAAUUUCCCCACAUGGACGCUUCGAAAGACUCCAGGAAGAUCCCAACUACAAUUCCCGCUUCACUAGGGCUCCGGGCCACAAAGAACAAAGACAGCUACAGUGUUUCACUCUCAGAUACCUGCUGGCAGGUUUGGUGCUUUUAGUCCUGGGCUUCCUUGUCGGCUGGUUCACCCACACCUCUUCCGUCAAACCUCGUCUCCCUGCCCCUGAAAGCUCCGACUUGCUCAAAGAACUGCUGGAAGGAAUCAAAGCUGACAAGAUAAAUUCACUUCAGAGGCGCCACAUUGACUAAGAUUCAAGCUAAACAUCCGCUCUGGCACCUGAAUAAAGAUUUUCCAUCAAGGAUCCGGAGCACGGGCGCCACAAAGGGAUGAGAGAAAUAAAACGUG